AACGAACGCUGGCGGCAUGCCUAACACAUGCAAGUCGAACGAGACCUUCGGGUCUAGUGGCGCACGGGUGCGUAACGCGUGGGAACCUGCCCUUAGGUUCGGAAUACCUCCCCGAAAGGGGUGCUAAUACCGGAUAAUGUCUUCGGACCAAAGAUUUAUCGCCUUUGGAUGGGCCCGCGUUGGAUUAGCUAGUUGGUAGGGUAAAAGCCUACUAAGGCGACGAUCCAUAGCUGGUCUGAGAGGAUGAUCAGCCACACUGGGACUGAGACACGGCCCAGACUCCUACGGGAAGCAGGAGUGGGGAAUAUUGGACAAUGGGCGAAAGCCUGAUCCAGCAAUGCCGCGUGAGUGAUGAAGGCCGUAGGGUUGUAAAGCGCUUUUACCCGGGAUGAUAAUGACAGUACCGGGAGAAUAAGCUCCGGCUAACUCCGUG
rnacentral:rRNA from 1 species